UCCAAGAUGAGAAUAAAACGGCGGAGUCUUCCACCAGUGACGGAGGCGGCAUCUUCUCCCCCAGUGACGUGCGAUGUUUGACCUGUGAUGGUGUUUGGACUCUCGACCAGUGACGGGGAGGAAAAUCCACUUUGCGG